CAGCUACAUACUAUACAUGGUAUACAACAACGAAUAUGCAGCUCGUAAUUUUAAAUUUGCUGCUUUUAUUCUCUUUUGUGGAUCUUCAUACAUUAGCGGUAAGUCUAUAACAUCUAUAAUAAAUAUAUUUCCAUUUUUAAUCUGUAUAUUAUUGUGUGAAAUUUGAGUUUCUUGCAAAUAAACAUCAAAUGGCGAUGCUUUGUAUUUAAUAUUUUUAUGUCGCUGACAGCCGACAGGUAUAGAAGAUCACUAGGCACCAAGGGUGGGUAGUAGCGAAGUAGUUGUAGUUCGCUACUGUAGCGAACUACAAUUUUCAAGUAGCCAGUAGUUUUUGACUACUUUUUUAAAACAGUAGUUGUAGUUAUAGCGAACUACAUUUUGCCUAAAAGUAGCCAAGUAGUUGACUACUUUUCAAACAGCGAAUCGCUAUUCGCUACUUUUUAAAAUUGUUAUAUAGCAACCGUUCGUAGAAUAUAAUGAUAUUAAGACACGGUUUGCUUAAAAGAUUAUUUUAUACAGUAAAGAUUAUUUUAGCGCAUUGAAAAGUGGCACUCCUGAACACUGUAUAGUGCUUACAAAAAUGUUGCUUUGACCCUUUUGUUUACUGUUGCUACUCGUAAGUCGAUUUGUUAUAGGUUAAAUUACAACCUGAGCCCAAAUACCGUAAAACUAAAAAAUAUAGAGUAGCGAAAUAGCGAAAUAGUUCGCUACAUUUUUUAAGCAGUAGCUGUACAUAGUCAGUAGCGAACUACUUUUGUUCAAAAGUAGCAGUAGUUGUAGCUGACUACAUAUUUUUGAAGUAGCUGUAGUUAUAGCGAACUACAAAAAUUUUGUAGUCAACCCACCCUUGCUAGGCACUAGCUUUAAAACACCUGGACACAUUUUAUAUUAUCUUAAUGUUUAAUACUAGUGAUAAAUUUCAAGCGAUGAGAAUAUAUAAUUUAACUCAUAUCAACGAAUUAAUGUGCUAGAUAUUUAGUAGAGAGUAGAGUCUCCCUGGAAUUUUAUAAAUAAAACGGGGUGUAUUAAUGGGCGAGGAAGGGGCAUGGACAUUUAUAUACGCCUGUAUUCUAAAAGCUCACACGCUCACACUUAAAGAGUGGAGAUAUAAUCUGAGCUCCCCUUGAGUGUGGUUUUUGAAUAGCUGGAGGAUGAGUAGUCACAAUAAGCCCUGGGCUUAUAAUUAUAUACUUUCGUAAACGAUUUUUGAUGGGCUUAUACAAGGGGGGCUUAUAUACGGGUGGGCUUAUACAUGGACAAUCUUUUGUGUUAGUAAUAAACAAGUCAGACAUAAACAAGUCAGUCAUAAACAGGGAGUAAACAUGUAUUAAGCAGCGAUUACUGGGCUUAUAUUAAUUGGGGGACCUAUAUUCAGGGGGCUUAUAUUCGAGUGGGCUUAUAUUUGGAAUGAGGUGAGUGUUAGUACAUGUGGUGGGCUUAUACAUGGGGGGCUUAUAUUCGGGGGUCUUAUAGUCGGAGCUUUAUGGUAUAACCCUUGUACAGCUAUUCAAAAACUGCACUGUCUGACACUCAAGGGAACCUCAGAUUAAACCUCCACUAUUUGAGUGUGAGUGAGCUUUUAGAACACAGGUGUUACGAUAGAACCCGAGUUAGCGAGGAUUUGAGUUUAAAUUAAUGAGGUUGGUGUUGGAUUUUGUUUAUUAUGUUGCUGUUAUAGUUAAUAACUAUAAGGUAUAGUCGUUUUAUCACCACAAUUGAUCGAGAGUCACUAUGGUACACUCUACAAAGAAUUUCUAAAGUCUGUACUACUGUUACCAGUCUUCAAUUAACAGUACAGUACCUACCAACAGUACAUGUACAUACAAGCUAGGUCAGUAAUAAUCAACGCUUUACGACAUAAUAAUUGAACUUUUUUCUCUCUAUCGACUAAUGUAUUACAUUUGUAUAUAUUGCAUACUGAUUCAAUUGUUGUUGUCUAUUAAAAUUGCAAUCCAAGCUUCCAAGUUGUCAAUGUGCUAAUUGUUCUGAUAUUUUGAGGUUUGCCGAUCCACAUCUAAAAAACACAGUUCAAGUUAUCCCAGGUAAAUUUGACCAAGGGAAAAUGAAAUUUGUAUGAGUUAGCAAGGAGGUCGAGUUAAUUCAAUGUUCGAGUCAGUGGGGUCACUUCUACUAUUGUGUAUAGUUUGCUUAAGACUUGAGAUCCUUAAAGCUAGUACAAUUCUCUGCAGUGACUAUUAGUGGCUACAAAGUUUCUGGCUAGUUGCUGCUGGCUAUUGGAACUGCUGGUCAUUUGACAUAAAUUGCUUACACUUGCAGGGUUUCCUAUCGCUUGUUGAAAAAGCUCAAGGGUAGGUUGGGAAUUCACUUCAAUCAGGGUUGGUGCAUUGAGCAGUCAAAAGCUUAGAUAGGAUUGGGAAACUGGAAACGUAGUAAGCUAUUUUUGAGCCCAAUUGCCAGGUGUUUAUUCCUGCGAAGUGAGCUGUGUGUGAGUUCGAGUUUUGCCUGGGUAUGUUUUGUCUGUCACUUACUAGACUUUUUUUGAAAUGUUUUUUAAAACUUUCCGACUUGUUUUACAUGUAACUAUUGAAUUGUUUAUUUUGCCUGUUAGGGUUGGGAAAGAUUGG